rnacentral:rRNA from 1 species
GACGAACGCUGGCGGCGUGCUUAACGCAUGCAAGUCGAACGAAGUGGCGAACGGGUGAGUAACGCGUAAUCAACCUGCCCUUCAGUGGGGGAUAACAGUUGUAAACGACUGCUAAUACCGCAUACUGAAGGAGGGGAUUGCGUCUGAUUAGCUAGUUGGCGGGGUAACGGCCCACCAAGGCGAUGAUCAGUAGGCGGUCUGAGAGGAUGAACGGCCAAAUUGGGACUGGGACACGGGCCAGAACCCUACGGGAGGCAGCAGUGGGGAAUCUUUCGCAAUGGACGAAAGUCUGACGGAGCAACGCCGGGGGAGUGAUGACGGCCUUCGGGUUGUAAAGCUCUGUUAAUCGGGACGCGGUACCGGAAGAGAAAGCCACGGCUAACUACGUGCCAGCCGCCGCGGUAAUUC